GGUGUUAGGUUAAAAACCCUGCCUUUGAAUGAGAAAGGCAAAUCCAAUGACGCAUCCUUCUCCAACGAAGACACUGCCUGCCGCCCUCAAAUCUUCACUGAAGGCCACUCCUUCAUCCGGCUCGAAUCCUUCUCAGAUGCCCCGAGAGGCCCUUGCUUGUCGGGUUGGUUCACGUGCGCGCAAACUAGCUCCGACGGCAAUUGCAGGGAGCAAUGACCAACUAUCUCAUGGAGCUUUCGAUCAGCCAUGCGAAACCCACUUCAUUUCUCUCAUUCAUUCCUCCAAAACUCUCCACCAGCUCAACCAAAUCCUCGCCCAAAUCUUCCGUCGUGACCUUUUCUCCAGCAGGAUCGUAACCCAGCUCAUAUCUUCCUGUUCUUUACUCAAGUCAGCGGAUUAUGCGGUCUCCAUCUUCCGCUGUUUCGAUGGACCAAACCUGUUCAUCUUCAAUGCGUUGAUUAGGGCACUUGCCGAGAAUUCCCGUUUUGAAAGCUCAAUUUUUCAUUAUGGUCUGAUGUUGAGGAUGAAUAUUCGUCCUAACCGGCUAACUUUCCCAUUCGUGAUGAAGUCUGCUGCGGCAUUGCUCUCGGGCAGCCUUGGGGCUGCUUUCCAUGGUCAAAUCUUGAAGCUCGGGCUUGAGUUCGAUUCAUUUGUUAGAGUUUCCUUGGUUGAUAUGUACGUGAAAGCCGAUGGUUUGGUUCAUGCUUUGCAGGCGUUUGAUGAAAGUCCCGGAAGAAAUAAGCUUGGGAGCAUCCUGCUGUGGAAUGUUUUGAUUAAUGGGUGUUGCAAGGCAGGUGACGUCGGGAAGGCCAUAGAGCUUUUUGAGGCAAUGCCUGAGCGGAAUACUGGUUCUUGGAAUAGUUUGAUUAAUGGGCUUAUGAGAAUCGGAGAGGUGGCUCGAGCAAAGGAGCUUUUCAACCAAAUGCCAGAGAGAAAUGUGAUUUCUUGGACUACAAUGGUUACUGGAUUUUCUCAGAGUGGAGACCAUGAAAAAGCUUUGUCCAUGUUUUUUAGAAUGCUAGAGGAGGGUGUGAGGCCGAAUGAUCUCACUGUUGUGUCUGCCUUUUCUGCUUGUGCAAAACUUGGAGCCCUUAAUUCUGGGGAAGGAAUUCACAAGUACGUUUCUAACAAUGGCUUCCAGUUGAAUAGAGCGAUUGGAACUGCUCUGGUGGACAUGUAUGCAAAAUGUGGGGACAUUGAAUCUGCCAGUGUGGUGUUUAAUGCGAUAAAACAGAAGGACCUUCUCACUUGGAGUGUGAUGAUAUGGGGUUGGGCAAUUCAUGGACGUUUUGAGCAAGCUCUCCAUUGUUUCAAUGAUAUGAAGGCUAGAGGAAUCAAUCCAGAUGAGGUUGCCUUUCUUGCCAUCUUAACUGCAUGUUCACAUUCUGGGGAGGUGAAUCAGGGAUUCAACUUCUUCAAAAGCAUGAGGCUUGACUACUCUAUAGAGCCUACCAUGAAACAUUACACAUUAAUUGUAGAUCUUUUAUGUAGGGCAGCUCGGUUAGAGGAAGCUCUAAGUUUCAUCAAGAACAUGCCCAUAGAUCCUGAUUUUGUGAUUUGGGGAGCGCUCUUUUGUGCUUGCAGGGCUCACAAAAACAUUGAAAUGGCAGAAUUAGUGUCAGAGAGGCUUUUGCAGCUAGAGCCUACACAUCCAGGGAGCUAUGUUUUCAUGUCAAACAUUUAUGCUGGGGUAGGGAGAUGGAAAGAAGUAGAGAAAGUUAGACAUGCAAUGAAAAAUAGAGGUGUUGAGAAAGAGCCUGGGUGGAGUUAUAUUGAGUUGGGUGGGCAGGUUCAUAGCUUUGUAGCUGGUGAUCAUGCUCAUGAAUGUGCAGAAGAGAUAUAUUUAAAACUAGAGGAGAUAAUAGUAAUGGCAAAACAACAAGGAUACAUGCCUGAAACAGAGUGGGUUCUUCAUAAUAUUGAAGAGGAAGAGAAGGAAGAUGCAUUGGGAAGGCAUAGCGAGAAGUUAGCACUUGCGUUUGGGCUUAUUAGUACUUCUCCAGGGAUGACCAUUAGGAUUGUAAAGAACCUAAGAGUCUGUGGGGAUUGUCAUUCUAUGAUGCAGUAUGCUAGUAAAAUGAGUCAAAGAGAGAUUGUAUUGAGAGAUAUAAAGCGAUUCCAUCAUUUUAAAGAAGGAGCUUGCUCAUGCGGUGAUUACUGGUAACGUGGUAUUGGUAAGCACUACCCUCUUUGCUUUAAUAAUAACAUAUUGUAAUAUGAUAUUUGACUUGCAUUUUGAUUUUAACUACACAGAUGUUACUAUAAAGUAGUGUAGACACCUAUUUUUGUCCAGGGCCCAAUACAUUAUUAUUUAUUAUUAUUAUUAUACUAUUAUUAUCGUAUAUAUUAUUAGUGUUAAUACUUUAUUAUUAUUAUUAUCAUUAUUAUGAUUUUUAUUGUUGUUAUUUAUAUUAUUUAUUAUCAUUAUUAUUAUUUUCCUAUAUUAUUAUUAGUACUUUAUUAUUAUUACUAUUUUUAUCACUUUUAUCAUUAUUAUUAUUUUUAUUAUUUUUACUAUUAUUAUUAUUUUUAUUAUUUUCAUAUACUAUUAUUAUUACUUUACUAUUAUUUUUUUUAGUAUUUUUAUCAUUAUCAUUAUUAUUAUUAUUAUUGUUAUUAGUAUUUAUUAUUACUAUCAUUAUUAUUAUUGUCUUACUAUUAUUAUUAUUAUUAUUAUUAUUAUUAUAAUUAUUAUUAUUAUCAUUAUAAAAGAAAAAGAAAAGGAUUUUUAGGGUUUUGGGAGUUUUAUUUAUAAAAGCAGGGGAGCCUUCACGGCAAAGGUUGGGGGGGGGGGGUUUGAAGAAAAAAACUUUUUUCUUCUUCUUCUUCUUCAUCUGCCAGCCAAGACCCGAACAUCUCCCUCCCUCGCUGCCAUCAUUCUCAACUCCCACGACCCGCCUCACACCCAACUCCGGCAGCACCACUCCACUAUACCACGGCCACCUUGCUCUGGCAGCCCUCAGCAACCCACGCAGCAACUCAGCUCCGGCGGCGAAGCUCCCAGCCGCUCCUCAGCCGGCUCCUGCCCCCGCAGAGAUCCAUCCUCUGUCUGUUUCCGCCCUCAGUCUCCCGUCUCCCUUAAUCUCCCUCUGCACGGCUGCUGCAACACCAGACAGCGGCCACGACCUCCUCUGCAUCACCAUGGACGGCCACAAGAAGCCACGCCAGGCCAAGGGACUCGCGGCCUCUUCUCCACCAUCGCAGUCGUUGCACCAUCCUCGCCAUCGCCGGAGUUUGUGCUGAGACGAGCCGCGGUACAGUCCGCAGCCCACAGCAGCAGAAUACCCGAACCACCAGCCCCGUCCACUGCUGCCGGAGCCUUCCACAGAAGACACAGCAGCAGCCACCAUUCCCUGUUUCUUCCAGUCGAGACCAUCCACGUUUCCGCCGUCAUCGCUUCGCCGCCCAUCAACUCCGGCCACCUGUUCCUCUCUUCUGCCAGCCUACUGACUCCGGCAGUACCCCCCUCUGUAAGCCUCUCUGCAUAACACACACUUGCACACAUGCAUUUAUCAAUUGGAUUUUCCAUACUCUGUUCUAUUAUGUAAAGUUUGAGUUUUUGUUUUUCUUCAGCUCACUGUGUAUAUCAAAUAGGUAUUUAACAUUGCUUAAGAUUGAUUUUGAUUUUUUUUUCUCUUUUGGUAAUACAGUUAAUAUUCAUGCUAAUGUUUCAUGGUAGGCUCUAUAGAGUAGUCAAGCCUCAUGCUUUUGAAGAAGUUGAAUCCCUGAUUCACCUCCCCAGAAUGUGAACAUGCAGUUAAGAUGGCAAGAAAGGCAACCUCAUCUGGAUUGAUUCCUGCAGAGCGCAACAGUGCACAUAUUAAUUUCCCUAAAAAAAGAAAUAAAGGAAGAAAGAAACCUAUAUAAUGUAAAAACAACUAUAAGACACUAUUAAAUCCCCAACCUCUAGCCUUCAUAUCAUUGAAACAAUGGAGAGCUUGCUCAAAACGUCCAUUAAUUGCCCAACCCCAUAUCAUCACACUCCAAGUGAGAAGGUCCUUUUGUUUUAUCGCAUUAAACACCACACUGGCAGAUUCAAUGUCCCCACAUUUUGCAUACAUGUCCACCAGAGCAGUUCCAAUUGCUUUAUUCAACUGGAAGCCAUUGUUAGAAACGUACUUGUGAAUUCCUUCCCCAGAAUUAAGGGCUCCAAGUUUUGCACAAGCAGAAAAGGCAGACACAACAGUGAGAUCAUUCGGCCUCACACCCUCCUCUAGCAUUCUAAAAAACAUGGACAAAGCUUUUUCAUGGUCUCCACUCUGAGAAAAUCCAGUAACCAUUGUAGUCCAAGAAAUCACAUUUCUCUCUGGCAUUUGGUUGAAAAGCUCCUUUGCUCGAGCCACCUCUCCGUUUCUCAUAAGCCCAUUAAUCAAACUAUUCCAAGAACCAGUAUUCCGCUCAGGCAUUGCCUCAAAAAGCUCUAUGGCCUUCCCGACGUCACCUGCCUUGCAACACCCAUUAAUCAAAACAUUCCACAGCAGGAUGCUCCCAAGCUUAUUUCUUCCGGGACUUUCAUCAAACGCCUGCAAAGCAUGAACCAAACCAUCGGCUUUCACGUACAUAUCAACCAAGGACACUCUAACAAAUGAAUCGAACUCAAGCCCGAGCUUCAAGAUUUGACCAUGGAAAGUAGCCCCAAGGCUGCCCGAGAGCAAUGCCGCAGCAGACUUCAUCACGAAUGGGAAAGUUAGCCGGUUAGGACGAAUAUUCAUCCUCAAAAUCAGACCAUAAUGAAAAAUUGAGCUUUCAAAACGGGAAUUCUCGGCAAGUGCCCUAAUCAACGCAUUGAAGAUGAACAGGUUUGGUCCAUUGAAGAUGGCGAGGAUAAAGACAAGUAGAAUAAAGACAAAUGAUUUUAAUGCAAGAGUAAUGCAGAAGCUUGGAUUUCCACCAGAAGAUCCUGCAGCCGCAAAAGCAUCUGCCCCAGUUGUGCAAGAGAAAAAGAGCUCAUUGCCUGUUAAACCUGCUACAAAGUCAGAGCAUAUGAGGGAGUUUCUGCUAUCUUUGUGUUAUACAAUGUACUCAGAAACAUUACUUGAUCUUGGUUUCCAAGGAGGAGAGGAAUUUUGUGAUUGAGUGAGAGAAUGUUGGACUGAGGUACACAGAAGAGCUUGAGGAAAGCACUUGGAGCCAUUAACGAUACUACAACUUUUGGUUGACUAAAGUAAAUAGUGAUUACAAGGAAUUGGAUAGUGCUAUUGAGAAGGCCACAAAUCAUGUCAAACUCCCAGCAAAGGAAAAACGCAUUAGUGGUAUUUUUGCUGCCGUUUCAGCCACAAGGCCUGAGACUGAUGUUGCAUACUGCAUACAUGCUCUUGCUAGACGAUUAUCAAAGACACAUAAUUGUGGGGGUGCAGGGGUGGAGAAGCCAAGCAGCUAGUCAAAAUGCUUUUCCAGCUCCAAACCAAGAUUACAUAUGAGAAUGUAAGUAUUUUUAAAGUUAAAAUUUUUAAUAUUUUGAAAAUAGUGGUUUGUCAUUUAUUUAUUUAUUUAUUUAUUUAUUUUUCUUCAUUCUUCCCAAAACCAAGUUGUGGUUGAACCUGGGAGUUAUUUUCACUUCCUAUAGAUUAUGCCCUUUAUAAACAAUAUAUGUUUAUUAAUAACUGAGAGUUAUGUGUUCAAUACAAGAUUUUAAUUUUAUUUC